AAAAAAUUGGGAAUUGGCUGCUGCCCAAAUCUACAGUCCAUGCCAGAAGAGGGUCUGCCAAAAUCGUUAUCUUUUCUAAGUGUCAAGAAAUGUCCAUUGCUGAAAACUCGGUGCCUUAGGGAGAAAGGGGAAGACUGGCCCAAGAUAGCUCAUGUACCCAUCAUAAAAAUUGAUGAAAAAGUGAUCUGAAUAUGAUGAGCUUAAUUUCCACUGCAACCCCAGCUCUUCAAUAUAUCCAACUUCUUCUCAGGAUAUUGAUCUAUAUUCUCUUUACUUGUUUGAGGCUCCAACAAUAUCUUAGUUGCAGUGAUCCCCAGUGUCCAAAGCUUUUGACUUAAUAGCAGAAGAAGGCUCUGGCUCUGUGGAGUGCAGUUGGAAUAUUGUGGAAAGCACUGUUAAUUGAACGGCCCUCAGGCUGCGCAAAAUCGCAGUUAUAGAAUUCCAUGCCUCAUAUUCCUUAUGAUUAAAUGGAAGAAAGAAAAUGCUUGCACCUUUAUUCCUCAACUAAUACUUGCAGAAUUCCUCUUGCCUUUUUGAUAAGCUUUUAAUGCAAAGACGCUUUGCAGUUCUGCUAAAUUAUUCAGUGGAGUUGUGUUCUUGGUACUUGGUAUGUACCACUUCUACCUCCUAAAUUUUUAAAUAAUUCUUAACUAUUUCUUCAGUGUUCCAAUCACAUACUGCUCUCCCAAUUUGAUGCUUUUGACUAGGUUUUAGUUGUCAAUAUAGCCCACAGUUCUGAUUGUCAAUUACAGGAUUUAUUUAAUUUGUGUCAAUUCCAAAGUGACUGCUUCCUACCAAUUGAACCUCAUUUUUGCAUCCAUAUACCUAAACUCAUACUAUUUCCCAAGAAACUCUAAAAGCUCAUCUCUGUAACAGAUUUUUAUAUUUUCUUGUGUUCUGAGAUCUCAAUUUUACUGGUGGUCUUUUAAACCGUAUGCUUUGUUUACCGUUAACUGGAUUUCAUACUCUGUUCACUUUGCACUGGUUCUCUUCUUUGAUCAUCUAGUUGGAGUGCUAAAGGUGGAGUGAACCAAGUCACAUCAAGAACAAUUCUUGAAUCAAUAAUUAACUUAGGUUUCAUAGUAUCAGUGAUGAAGGAAACUAAUUCAAGAACAAAUGUAGAACUGAAAUUGAUAAUCUGAAUUGAACUGAAAAUACAAUGAAAAACAAGUCUUAAAGAGAGGAUCACAUGGAAUGUUUACAAUCACAAAAUCAUCAAAUACUAACUAAUACACCUUGCAAUCCCACUCUUAUACCUAAACUACUCUGCCAAGCUCCUAACUAAUUCUGUUUGAUAUUACUUUUUAUUUUCAGUUGAGACUUGGGAUAGGCAUGAAGGGAAAAUUCCAUUGGGUGAUUCUGAUCUUUAGUAGAUA